rnacentral:rRNA from 1 species
GACCAGACUCCUACGGGAGGCAGCAGUGGGGAAUAUUGCACAAUGGGGGAAACCCUGAUGCAGCGACGCCGCGUGAGUGAAGAAGGAUUUCGGUAUGUAAAGCUCUAUCAGCAGGGAAGAAAAUGACGGUACCUGAUUAAGAAGCCCCGGCUAACUACGUGCCAGCAGACGCGGUAAUACGUAGGGGGCAAGCGUUAUCCGGAUUUACUGGGUGUAAAGGGAGCGUAGACGGUGAUGCAAGUCAGAAGUGAAAGCCCGGGGCUCAACUCCGGGACUGCUUUUGAAACUGUGCAGCUAGAGUGCAGGAGAGGUAAGUGGAAUUCCUAGUGUAGCGGUGAAAUGCGUAGAUAUUAGGAGGAACACCAGUGGCGAAGGCGGCUUACUGGACUGUAACUGACGUUGAGGCUCGAAAGCGUGGGGAGUAAACAGGAUUAGAUCCCCCAGUA